rnacentral:rRNA from 1 species
GAUGAACGCUGGCGGCGUGCCUAAUACAUGCAAGCCGAGCGAACAGACGAGGAGCUUGCUCCUCUGACGUUAGCGGCGGACGGGUGAGUAACACGUGGAUAACCUACCUAUAAGACUGGGAUAACUUCGGGAAACCGGAGCUAAUACCGGAUAAUAUAUUGAACCGCAUGGUUCAAUAGUGAAAGACGGUUUUGCUGUCACUUAUAGAUGGAUCCGCGCCGCAUUAGCUAGUUGGUAAGGUAACGGCUUACCAAGGCGACGAUGCGUAGCCGACCUGAGAGGGUGAUCGGCCACACUGGAACUGAGACACGGUCCAGACUCCUACGGGAGGCAGCAGUAGGGAAUCUUCCGCAAGGGGCGAAAGCCUGACGGAGCAACGCCGCGUGAGUGAUGAAGGUCUUCGGAUCGUAAAACUCUGUUAUUAGGGAAGAACAAAUGUGUAAGUAACUAUGCACGUCUUGACGGUACCUAAUCAGAAAGCCACGGCUAACUACGUG